UACGGGGGGGGCAAGCGUUGUUCGGAAUUACUGGGCGUAAAGGGCCAGUAGGCGGCCAACUAAGUCGGAUGUGAAAUCCCCAGGCUCAACUUGGGAACUGCAUCCGAUACUGGAUGGCUUGAAUUCGGGAGAGGGAUGCAGAAUUCCAGGUGUAGCGGUGAAAUGCGUAGAUGUCAAGAGGAACACCUGCGGCGAAGGCGGCAUUCUGGACUACAACUGACACUGAGGAACGAAAGCCAGGGGAGCAAACGGG
rnacentral:rRNA from 1 species